rnacentral:lncRNA from 1 species
UAGCAAGGGAAGAUGGGAUAGCGUGCCUAAUACAGAGCUGCAAAAUAAGUUGCAAGUCACAGGCAGAGACUCUUAAUAAUAGACUCUUGCAUGGGCAAAGGUUUGGACUUUUGCACUUGUUUUGCUCAGACAAGAGGGAAGUGAACUAGAACAAGAAGCCCAAGUAUAACUAAAACUGGAGAAAGCAGGCUUAAGGAAGAGGGAAGCAGCCAACAUCUGUGACCAGCCAGAGCCAAUUGAGACGCUGGGGAACUUGGAGGACACAAUGUGCUGCUAAAUUGGCACAAACCCCUAAGAGUACAAAGGUUUCUGGUAUCAAUUUAUCACUGCAGCUGAGAUCGGGGUAAGAGGAAAGAGUCACAGCAUGACUGAUUUUUCAAAUAGACCAAAUGAGACAUGU